GGGGAUUUAGCUGAAUAGUUCCAGCACCUGCCUUGCAAGCAGAAGAACCCAAGUUCGAUCCCCA
rnacentral:tRNA from 1 species